UCAAUCAGUUGCUGGUUUCUUCGGGAAGCGUCGGCAAACACAAUUUCUGCAUUGUUUCAGAUUUGCAAUCACCAUCAGUUGUGUCAUUCAUCAAAUAGAGUUUGGCUUCCUUUCGAUAACAUUAAGUCGUCAAGAUUAUCAGGAGUCUAUGCAAAGGAGUAUCUGGAUUGUUCUUUUGCCUCUAUUCCUGGUUUUGUUGCUUGGCGUUAGUUUGGUGUCCUAUUGUUAUUCAGAUAUUGGGAACAGUGAACAAUCAAAAUCUACAAAUUUUCUGGACUCAGUGAUGGCAUCUACGAGCACAACGAAACGGGUUAAAAGAUUGUUGGAAGGAGGAUGUAAAUCUAAUCAAUUUGAUCAAGUUAAUUCAAAGAGAUGGAAAAGAAGUGGGUAUAUUUUCUUAUGUUAUUUUCUAUUUGAAAGUAGCGUAUUUACUUUAAUUUUGUUCUUGAAUGAAUGAGUUUUUCUCCUUUUAGCUAUUUUUUGUUGUAUGAAGGUGUACUGCCUAUAUAUUGUUUUGUUGUGGUCAUGGUUUGAUCUCUGUAACGUAAUUAAUCUACAUUGAGGUGAGUUAAUCAAUGAUUGUUGGCAGCUAGCAAAAUCAUUGAAUUUUUGUUUGUAACUUAAUUUGUAGUGUAUAGGUUUGAAUUGUACCCUGUUUUAUACAAAUUAUAGCUGCUGAUGUUUAUCUGUUCUAACUUUUUACAGUAUGAAGUGAACUAUUGCACUAUACAACAAGGGUGAUGAGUCUUCAGAGACUGCUCUGGUAGAAUCAAGGGCCGAGGUAUUGUUCUGAAUUCUUUUUUGAGGUAUCUACAAUUCUACAUAGUGAUCUGAGGUUUGGUGCGUCUAUUUGAAAGCAGAAAAAAAGGUAGAUAUAUAAAUAAAAAUAGCUUAAAUGACUUGCCCUUUAAAAAAAAAAUAUAUACUACAGCCGGCCCUAUGUGCAGAAAAAUUUCAAGACAUUUGACAAAAGCAUCAUUAUUAGAUGCAGGAGUGUCUGCAGUAGCAGCUCUUGCCAUGAUGUUUUUACUUUGGAAUGGUAAGUAGUAUCUUUUUAAUUGGUUAUUUAUCACUUGAUAUUACUCAAAUUCAACUGAAUGGGCAUGAUGUUAGUAUAAUGUUUUGUAGAAAAGUCUUUUUGUUAAUUUCCUUUUCUUUUCUCUUUUGACAAUAUUUUUUCCUUUCAUUUUCGACCGUUCUACAUUUCUUUAGUUGACAUACAUUAUCAAAUUUUAUUUCCAAUCUUUUGUGGCCAAUCUGAUGAUGAUUAUUAGUUGGGAGCUUCUCAAGUAUUUUUGUUUGUUAAUAAAGGGAAACAAGAACUUCUAAAAUCCGAACAUAAGUAACAGCUGAAUAAGACCAAACACGAAGAACACAGCGAUACUAACUAAGCCAUAGCUAUGCAAGCAUUUUGGUUUGCUAUUGCAAUAGCCAGCAAAUCACACAAAGCUACAUUAAUGCCAUGCCUUACCUGACAGAAUUUGUAGCCUUACCACUGUGGUUGCAAUUUUUGCAGCCCUUGGAUUUUUAGUUAAUGCCAUGGAGAUUGGUGAAUAACCUUGAGCUUGAGCUUCAUUGAGUUGCUAUGUCCUGCUCAUGAUGAGCUCAAGUUAGAACAUCAUUCACCAUAUGUAUGAGUUCAAAAUCCCUCUGCGAAUUUUAGCAUUGGUGGAUAACACACAGUCACAUCAUGAAAAGGAAAAUUAAGAUAUACUAAGGGAUCCAUUCACUUCCCAAUUGUCAUGACUAAGACACAAAGAGGGAGACUUGAGAAAUACAAAGGCCACUUGAAUAUAUGAUGAUACUUGGAGCAUCUGUCAAAGAUCUGAAUGCCUUUGCUUGGCUAUCAAGAAGCUUGAAAAUACCUUUGCUCUCUCUUUAUAUAUGCUCUAUCCGGUUAGACAGUAAAAAUUGGGAGACAACCACAAUUUGCUCUUAAAGGCCUGAAGAGUUGUUGAUCUAUUAUUUGUACUAAUGAAUUAAAAUGCUGUUACUUGAAUCAUAGAAAGUGAGGCCAAUGUUCCUCUCUUCACUUCUGUAAA